ensembl:snRNA Gm24097 predicted gene, 24097
GUGCUCGCUUCAACAGCACAUAUAGUAAAAUUGGAAUGAUACAGAGAAGAUUAGCAUGGCCACUGUGCAAGAAUGACACGCAAAUUCAUGAAGCAUUCUAUAUUUUU